rfam:Haemonchus placei strain MHpl1 genome assembly, scaffold: HPLM_scaffold0001598
UGUCCAAAUUUGAAGUAGAGUAGAUUAGUAGUAUCAGAUAACCCUACUAAUCUACUCUACUUCAAAUUUGGGCCC